UAGCCAACCUACCUAUCAGAGGGGAAUAACCCGGCGAAAGUCGGACUAAUACCGCAUAAAACAGGGGCACCGCAUGGUGAUAUUUGUUAAAGAAAUUCGCUGAUAGAUGGGCAUGCGUUCCAUUAGGUAGUUGGUGAGGUAACGGCUCACCAAGCCGACGAUGGAUAGGGGAACUGAGAGGUUGGUCCCCCACACUGGUACUGAGACACGGACCAGACUCCUACGGGAGGCAGCAGUGAGGAAUAUUGGUCAAUGGGCGGGAGCCUGAACCAGCCAAGUCGCGUGAAGGAAAGGAAGGAUCUAUGGUUCGUAAACUUCUUUUGCAGGGGAAUAAAGUGCAGGACGUGUCCUGUUUUGUAUGUACCCUGAGAAUAAGGAUCGGCUAACUCCGUGCCAGCAGCAGC
rnacentral:rRNA from 1 species